AUGGGGCCCCGACCACCAAGUUCGCCGGCUUGCGCAGUGAUGCGGAAAAGAGCAAGCAGCGGCUUAACGGCCUAUCUGAUUGCGAGGCAGGAGAUACAGAGGAAGAUGGACGAGUUGGCCGAGAAGGAGCUUGGGCCGGAUGGCAAGGAGAGGUUCCUUGCCACUGUACUCUCCCAAGACAAGAUGAGGUCGAUGGAGGAGAUGAUCGCCGAUUCGGCGCGAAACAUCUUCCAAGAAUAUUUUCAUAUGUUACACCAAUCGCCGAUGGAAGAGGAAGAGGAAGAGGAAGAGGAGGAGGAGGAGGAAGAGGAGGAUGAGCUGGAGCUGGAGGAGGAGGAUGAGGAGGAAGAUGAGGAGGUAGAGGAAGAAGAAGAAGAGGAGGAGGAGGAAGAGGAGUUGGAGGAGGACGAUGACGACGAGGAAUUACGCAUGACUAUUCAGGUAUCCUUCUUGUGCGACCAGAUCGGCGACCUGGUACUAGAACUUCUGAAGAUGGUUCCAGAUGAAGAGCCGGAAAAUCAAUUGCUGUCCUCGGUCACAAGGCUAAAUAGAUUGCAGUGGAUCACAGACAGCAUCAACAAUUUCGUCUCAGAAAUUGCGGUGAGGGUGUCGAGGGAACAAAUGAUAGAGAGAACACGCAAAGAGAAAGAGGAACAGGAGAGGUUUCGCCAACAGGGCCAGGAGGUGAGGAGCUCGGAGAAGAAACAGGAGCAAGAGAAGAGGGAGAUCGACGGAGAAGCAGCUGUCGCCGGAGGCAGAUUAGUCACUAUGGCAAUGGACAGGGGCUUGGAGGGCAAAGAUGUCGAGGGUGAAGCGGUGAUCAGCGAGGACGCAGCCGCAGCCGCGGAGUACGAGGAGGAGGCAUUUGCUCGCUUCCGUAGGAGCUGGGAGUGUCGCCAAGGUGCCAACAGCUUCGAAGACCUCACGUUAUUCAGUCCCAUGCUGUUUACACACUGCACACCGGGAUUCAAGCCAGUAGACGGCGUCCUUGCAAGGACAGUUCAGAUCUGUUCCAUCAAACUUACUCAUGUGAAACACUUUAAAUGGCCACUGCAAUUGUAUGGUGUGGUUGCUGCCCGAGAUGCUGUGGAUGGGCGUCGCAACCCCAUCUUCCUUCGUCCAAGGGAUGAUUGCCAAAUCCUGAAUGAGUCGUUAAUGGCAAAUUAUGACGAUCAUAUGCUUGCAGGAUCCUUUUUUGCAUUGACCGGCCCAGUUCGUGCAAUUGUGUCUGGGGAACCCGUUGACGUUGAAAUCCAGUUAAUAAUAAAGGGCAAAACGGCGUCUCAAGAUAGAGCAUUGGUGAGGGAUGCCUUUUUUUACGAUGGUGAUGUCGGUCAUUCUCGUGACGGUUUCCGAACCAGCAUCAUUGAAAAAACCUUUUGCACACUAGAGUUAUGUUCUCAGCAACUUGAACGUUCGGUUCAAGCCACCAUCUUUGGUGUUCAUGUUGCUGAUGAGAAGUUAACGCCUUUUCAAUAUGGAGUCCGCGUUGUUUGCUACACAUUUUCCGAGCGUGAGAUUGAAGAAGUCAAUGUGCCCAAGUCAAGGAAAAUAGUAUUGCUUGAUUCAAAAGCUGGAAGAAAGCGCGCAGUUAGUGGUGGUUAUCUAAAUCUGUCAAGGCAAGUUCUCUCCGUAGAACUCCGUGGAAAGCUAAAAGUUCUUAUUCAAGCAUACACACCGACUGGAGACAUUGCUGCACAAGGACUUGUAUUUGUCGUACCCAAAGCAUACAACACGAGUCAACAUGUAUGUGAGCUUGGCGGCUUCAAGGUGGAGUUUACGAUUGCUUGGUCCCUCCUUGUUGAAGAUGAAGAGCAUAUCUUGAUGAAUGGAUGUGUGGAUCCUUUCGCACCGUGUCCACCUAUGAAGCCCUCUUUUUCCAACGAGGGGCUAUCUUCUUCCAAUGGUGGUUUGUUGAUACGCGUACCCCGUGCCCCGUCCUCUCUUUCUGGGCCGGCCGGCCCAUUUCUUUCCUUCCUAAGAAAAACGUUUUUUGCUUUGCAAAUAUUCACGGCAAUGGAGGGAGCUCCUAGUCGGCGCCUUAAGCGCCGGCUAGGAGAACCGGCACCCACGCGCCUGGCUAGUUGGGCCGGCCCACGAAACGCGAUGUACGCAGAAAACCCAAACGAAGCCUAG
rnacentral:rRNA from 1 species